UAUGCGCACUUCGUUCCGGAGG
rnacentral:miRNA from 1 species